UAAUGUGAGUAAGAAAAAGGAAGCCUUGCGCCAACAAGACUUCCCAUGCAAGCCGCUUCAAAGGCGGUGGCCUAGAUUUACAAAACUACAUU
rnacentral:sRNA from 1 species